AGCCACCUGUUCUGAUGGAUGCUUAUAGAGAAUCUUGUUAGAGACAGAGAUCAAGGAUGUGGACAUCAUAGCAUUUGUGUUUGUUUGAUGAGUCUCACACUGUGGUGACAGGACUACAGCACAGUUGGACCAAAGCUGGCUGAGAAUUAACUCAGAGUGGAGUUGGUGGGAGUUUGAGCAUGCCCACAAUCCACUACACGGCACAUCUGAAAUCUGUAAAGGAUAUUUUCCUCUUCAUCUCCAUUUUAAGAAGAUAUUACUGAUUACAAGUUAUACUUCCUGUCCUACCCGAUUCUAUUCUUUAGUGUUCGUUUACUCUGAUUCCUGGGAAAAAUAAAUAAAUAAAUAAAAAUUGCUGGAGUACUGUCUACAAUUGGGAAAUCCAUCACAUUAUACAGCAAUACCUUUACCCAUCCAUUCUUAAGUAGUCAAGUAUCCACAUGAGAUUUUUUAAUCUUAUUUUGCAGCUAGGUAGCUGCAAAUAACUGCAUAGCAUCUGAACUACAGAGGGAUGUGGAAAGAUGUUGACCCCCAUGAGGUUACUGUCAAAGUGGAAAGUCAGUUUUCAUUUUAAUCUUUGUAACUCUUCAAAAUUAAUGUAAUUGUCCAUUUACAUCUUCCUUCAAUGAGUUGUCCACAUCAGUGAGAUUACAAGAUGACAGAUUUAUUUCCAUUAUUAUUGCUUCAGUAUGAAACUUAUCACUACUUUUAUAAAAUUAUGAGCUCUGUUUGUUCCUAUGUUUUUGUCCUUCUAAACGUCCAUUGCUAAAAGUCUUUCACUGGAUAAUGCUUUGAGUACAUUAUCAAACCUUUUCGUAAUGACUCAUACAGAGUUGAG